CUGCUCAACUGGAUUGAAUCUGGGAGAAGAAGAUGGGGGCAUUAUUUCUUGACAGCCACCUAGAUUCCAACAGCAUCAUGCAACAAAUGGUACUAAGACCUUCAGAACCCUUGAAGAGCUAAUCAGCACUUAUGCAUGAAGGCAAUGUUCUAAACCUUAGUGGUCAGGAAAUGUUUGAGAUUUGAAACAGUUGUUUGAAGUUGAG
rnacentral:lncRNA from 1 species